ACUCAAAGGAAUUGACGGGGACCCGCACAAGCAGCGGAGCAUGUGGUUUAAUUCGAAGCAACGCGAAGAACCUUACCAGGGCUUGACAUCCCUCUGACAGACCCGUAACGGGGUUUUCCUUCGGGCAGAGGAGACAGGUGGUGCAUGGUUGUCGUCAGCUCGUGUCGUGAGAUGUUGGGUUAAGUCCCGCAACGAGCGCAACCCUUGUCAUUAGUUGCCAUCAUUUAGUUGGGCACUCUAGUGAGACUGCCGGGGAUAACUCGGAGGAAGGUGGGGAUGACGUCAAAUCAUCAUGCCCCUUAUGUUCUGGGCUACACACGUGCUACAAUGGCCGGUACAACAAGUUGCAAUACCGCGAGGUGGAGCAAAUCUCAAAAACCGGUCCCAGUUCGGAUUGCAGGCUGCAACUCGCCUGCAUGAAGUCGGAGUUGCUAGUAAUCGCAGAUCAGAAUGCUGCGGUGAAUGCGUUCCCGGGUCUUGUACACACCGCCCGU
rnacentral:rRNA from 1 species